AAUAAGUACUACUAUGUAAUAUUUGCUAGAGAAACUGAAAAAUAUGCUGGUUACAAGUCGGUUGCUUACUUAAUCAAAUAGUCCUAUGUGCUAGUAAGAGAAUGAAUGAAUUAACUAAUUAAUACAAUAAAAUACUAGUUAGUAUUACUAAUUAGUUUUUAGAAUUAAAUGUUUAGCCAGCUUGCCAUAUCUUGAGCGUGUGUGUGUGAAGGUGGGAGAGGCUGUUGCGCGCGCGUGUCCUCGUCUAUUUUUCCUGUGGGAAUUAAUGCCAUUUCACGUGGGUAUUAUUAGAGGUGGCCGUUACUAAACUUAGCUUCAUUCUCUAAGUUAUUCAUUCUCUAAGUUUGUCCAUGAGUGGACAAAAAAGAAAUGGCAACAAAUAACCAGACCGAUUAGGAAAAUGCCAAAAUAAGAAGGAAAAUAGCAUUGUAAACGAUGAGACGGAGACGUCUGAGAGCGAUGACUUCCGUGGCCGGGAGCAAGAUCGUUUCCUUGCCGUGGAAAAAUAGUCAGGAAGGGGAAAAAUGUUGAGGGGUUGGUGUGGGGUAAAGAGAAAGAAAAACUCGAUCUUUGUCUACAAUCAAUGCAGCCCUCCUCCUCCCCCAUGUCGCCGCCAUCUCCCAGGCCAUAAUUUACGAUCCCUCGCUAUUUAUUUGGCUCACACCUCCCGGUAAAGCCCCGUUAAACAACUUCACACCAAAGCAUGCCGUUGAAUCAUGAUGGCAGCUCAUUUCGCAGGGAGGCUUGGUGAGGAGACUCUGUGGAGCCCAGAACUCAGGGGUCAAGUCCAGGUUUUCCCAGCCCCCAGCAUCCCUCCCGCUCUCCUCCGCUCCAGAGAGAUGGACAGAAUCAGGGAGAGGCGUGAAGGGAUGGGGAGGAGAGGACAUGAGCCUGAAGUGAUAGAUUGACACUUACGAUGAGGAACAGUGGGAACAGAUAUUCAUUUAUGGACGAAAAACAAUUUACUUUUACAUUUCGCAGAAAGCGUGUUUGGCUUCUGCGGGGUUAGUUUUUUGUUUGUUGAAAGGUUGUGAUUCUGGAGUCUUGAUUUUACAUGUCAGUUCUGAUGGUAAAUAUUGUGUUUUGCAUAUUUUUAGGGACACAGCAACUUUCAAACAACCAUAAUCAAAUAAUAUAUCUUUAUAUAAAAGAUGGAUGUUUUGAACAUUAACAGAAAUAAAUUUUUUAUAUAACUUAGUAGAAAUUUUAUG
ensembl:lncRNA